rnacentral:rRNA from 1 species
GACAGAGGUGCCGAGCGUUAGGCGGAAUCACUGGGCUUAAAGCGUGUGUAGGCGGGUCCGUAAGUACCUUGUGAAAUCCCACGGCUCAACCGUGGAACUGCUGGGUAUACUGGUUGUCUUGAGCCAGCUAGGGGCGAGCGGAACAGACGGUGGAGCGGUGAAAUGCGUAGAUAUCGUCUGGAACGCCGAAGGUGAAAACAGCUCGCUGGGGCUGCGCUGACGCUGAGACACGAAAGCCAGGGGAGCGAACGGG